rnacentral:rRNA from 1 species
GCCCUACGGGAGGCAGCAGUGGGGGAUAUUGCACAAUGGGGGGAACCCUGAUGCAGCGACGCCGCGUGGGUGAAGAAGCGCCUCGGCGCGUAAAGCCCUUCAGCAGGGAAGAAAAUGACGGUACCUGAAGAAGAAGCCCCGGCUAACUACGUGCCAGCAGCCGCGGUAAUACGUAGGGGGCAAGCGUUAUCCGGAUUUACUGGGUGUAAAGGGGGCGCAGACGGCGAUGCAAGCCAGGAGUGAAAGGUACCGGCUCAACCGGUACAGGCUCUGGAAACUGGCGGGCUAGAGAGCAGGAGAGGGCG